UACGUAGGGGGCAAGCGUUGUCCGGAUUUAUUGGGCGUAAAGAGCGUGUAGGCGGUUUGGUAGGUCCGCUGUGAAACUCGAGCUCAACCUCGAGACGCCGGUGGAAACCAUCAGACUAGAGUCCGGAAGAGGAGAGUGGAAUUCCUGGUGUAGCGGUGAAAUGCGCAGAUAUCAGGAAGAACACCCGUGGCUAAGGCGGCUCUCUAGUACGGUACUGGACGCUGAGACGCGAAAGCGUGGGGAGCGAACAGG
rnacentral:rRNA from 1 species